rnacentral:rRNA from 1 species
GACGAACGCUGGCGGCGUGCUUAACACAUGCAAGUCGAACGGAAAGGCCCUGCUUUUGUGGGGUGCUCGAGUGGCGAACGGGUGAGUAACACGUGAGUAACCUGCCCUUGACUUUGGGAUAACUUCAGGAAACUGGGGCUAAUACCGGAUAGGAGCUCCUGCUGCAUGGUGGGGGUUGGAAAGUUUCGGCGGUUGGGGAUGGACUCGCGGCUUAUCAGCUUGUUGGUGGGGUAGUGGCUUACCAAGGCUUUGACGGGUAGCCGGCCUGAGAGGGUGACCGGCCACAUGGGGACUGAGAUACGGCCCAGACUCCUACGGGAGGCAGCAGUGGGGAAUAUUGCACAAUGGGCGGAAGCCUGAUGCAGCAACGCCGCGUGCGGGAUGACGGCCUUCGGGUUGUAAACCGCUUUCGCCUGUGACGAAGCGCGAGUGACGGUAAUGGGUAAAGAAGCACCGGCUAACUACGUG